UGGGGAUUCGCCAAGCGGUAAGGCAACGGACUCUGACUCCGUUAUCCGGGGGUUCAAAUCCCUCAUCCCCAGCCA
rnacentral:tRNA from 1 species